CAGCACCUCAAGUGGUCAGGAUGAUUAUUGGGCCUAAGGCAUCCGUAGCCGGCUCUGUAAGUUUUCGGUUAAAUCUGUAUGCUCAACAUACAGGCUGCCGGGAAUACUGCAGAGCUAGGGAGUGGGAGAGGUAGACGGUACUCGGUAGGAAGGGGUAAAAUCCUUUGAUCUAUUGAUGACCACCUGUGGCGAAGGCGGUCUACCAGAACACGUCCGACGGUGAGGGAUGAAAGCUGGGGGAGCGAACCGGAUUAGAUACCCGAGUAGUCC
rnacentral:rRNA from 1 species